GAUGAACGCUAGCGACAGGCUUAACACAUGCAAGUCGAGGGGCAGCAUGAACUUAGCUUGCUAAGUUUGAUGGCGACCGGCGCACGGGUGAGUAACGCGUAUGCAACUUACCUAUCAGAGGAGAAUAGCCCAUGGAAACGUGGAUUAACACCCCAUAGUGUCUUUUAUCCUGCAUAGGAUGUGAGUUAAAUGUUCAAGGUAUCGGAUGGGCAUGCGUCCUAUUAGUUAGUUGGCGGGGUAACAGCCCACCAAGACGAUGAUAGGGUAGGGGUUCUGGAGAGGAACGGUCCCCCACAUUGGAACUGAGACACGGUCCAA
rnacentral:rRNA from 1 species